UCUACUUUCUAUUUUCAUUCCUUCUUUUCGGCAGUAGGAAGAAGAAAAAGAAGAAGACGAAGAGAUAAGAGCAGUAGAUGGUGGUGAAGCAAAAGAUAUUGGUGCUCAGAUCGCACCUGUCGUUAAACUUGAAGAAGUUUACAACUGUGAAGAAGUUCUUAUCUAAAUCUCAAUAAUUUAGUUUUCUAAUUCGAAUUUGAUUUGAUUUUUAUGGGUUUGAUUUUUUGUUGUUGAUUGUGUGUAGAAAAGAGAAACUAUACCGAUUUGAUUAAGAUGAAAAUCAAUAGAAAGAGGAGUUUAAACUUUGAAGAUUCUUAAACAUAAACAUACUGAGAAAGUUGGGUUGGUUAUGAGACAAUUCAAGAUCUGUGCUAAUCAUCUAGAAAAUAGUGCGGCUGUGUAAGAGAAAGCUGAGGAGAUUGAGAGAGUAAAAUUUAGUGGAAAUUCAGAGAGAUCGAGAAAUGAAGAUGUUAGGGUCUGUAAAGAGAUUAGGGUGUUGUUUCCAGUAAGAGAAGAUCUGUUGUUAACGAUGAGUCUCGGUGGUUGUUAAUUGAAGCAAUGAAUCAACAAAUCAGAGGAACAUGGAGAAAUUAGGGUUUCAAAGGAAGAAUUGAAGACACCAAUAAUGGGUUUGUUCAAUAUCAAGAAAAGGAAGACUAGUUGAUGGCACCAGUUUGCUCUAGAAUUAAGGGUUCUGUGCGAUUCAACAUCGGUGAUUGAUGGCAGAGAUCAAAAGGGUAUUUUCUGUUCGAGUCUCAGACGAGUUUGAGAGAAAUUCAGUGAAGAAGAGAUGCUGGUUACAGCUGGGAAAUGUUGUUUGCUGCUGAAGAAUUCAUGUUGUGUUGCAGGAAUUUUGGGUUGCCCUUAAAUUUGACUUUGGUUUGUGUGUGACUGAGUUCUGAUGGGAAUUGGUGCUGGUAGUUGCAUUUGAGCAAGAACAACACAGGGUAUGAGUUGCUGCUAUCGAGAUCUGCAGGGGUUGAACUGCAAGAAUGGUUGCAGUCUCAGGUGGUGCUGUGUAUGCUGGAAUUACAGGAAAGUUGGUUUGGCUGCUGCUGGGAAGUUUAGUCAAGAGUAUGGAGAUGUAAUUUCAUCUGCAAUGAAGUGCUGAUGGUGCUGUGACAGUGAGACAUGAGCGGAGUGAUGCAGUGGUGAGAUGAACUAACAAGAGCUGAGGGCAAGCUGUAAUUGCAGCUGCACUGAAGCUGAGUGAGCAACUAAUACAACUAAAGAUGCAAGUGCAGUGAUAGUGGAUAUGGAGCUGUGAGCUGUAGGGAAUUACAGGAAUAGACGGGUGGUCUUGCUGUUGUAUGUAGCUGGAGAGAAUGAUGAAUUGAAGCUGUUGCAGGUGAUUUAUAGAUGAAAGCAGCAUGAGAUGAGUUGCAGGCAUGUGCAGCUGCAAGUUGAAAUGAUUUUGUUGGUCCAAGAAGAGAAUGGAAGUGCUGCAAUAGAUGUAUGUUAGGAUGCAGAUGAAGCUGGUAUGGAACUGGUGGUGAAGAAGCGAGUUGGCAAAGAAUGUGACAGUGAGCUGAAAUUACAGAAAAUGGGUUGUUGCUGCAGUUACAGAUGGAGUUUGCAAGCAUUUCAUCUUCAACUAACAAAGAAACUACUUCUGUUGGAGUCACCCUUCAGCUCGUAUCACCUCCUGCACCUCAGAUAGGGAUGCAACUCAAGCUGCCUCAAGUUUUGAAAAUAAGAACCAUCUCCCAGAAAGUUUACAAGAUCAGAUGCUUUCCCAUCUGUGUUUGAAGUUCAGAACUGACUCCGAAGGGUUGCAUCAGCAAGAGACUCUUGAAUCCCUCCCUAAAGCCAUCCGUUCUAGCAUUUCACAUUUUCUCUUCGAUAAUCUCGUUAACAACGCGUACUUGUUCCGCAGGGGGUCAAAUGACCUUCUUUUCCAGUUAGUCUCAGAAAUGAAAGCGGAGUAUUUCCCUCCGAAAGAAGAUGUUAUAUUGCAGAAUGAAGCACCGACAGACUUCUAUAUACUAGUUAUAUGCGCUGUGGCUCUAACUGAAGGAUAAUGUCAUCACAAAACCUCAGAAACACAAUCCAGAAAUCGUCGCGAAUGAAGAGAUGGGAUGGAAGAACUUAAAUUUGAUUGGAGCAGCAUGGGCAGGUACUUCAUGUAUCUGUAUUUCAGUUACUUUUUUUUCUUCCUUAGAGACAUCCAACAAUGUAGAGUUCAUUUUCCUUUAAAACAUUUUGUAAGAUUUUUUUUUUUUUUUUUUUUGAAAGCAUUGUAUGAUUCUCAUGAUGUGAUGCUAA